rnacentral:rRNA from 1 species
UACGGAGGGGGCAAGCGUUACUCGGAAUCACUGGGCGUAAAGGGCGCGUAGGCGGCCUAGCAAGUCUGGUGUGAAAGCCCAGGGCUCAACCCUGGAGGGGCACUGGAAACUGUUAGGCUUGAGUUCCGGAGAGGAGGGGGGAAUUCCCGGUGUAGCGGUGAAAUGCGUAGAUAUCGGGAGGAAUACCGGUGGCGAAGGCGCCCCUCUGGACGGAAACUGACGCUGAGGCGCGUAAGCGUGGGGAGCAAACAGG